CUUUUAAAUGCUUUAGUCUCCUCAGCCAGUACAGAGCCAGACACUGACAGAGAGACACAGAGAGCUCAGCUCGUCCUGCUCACACAUCAACCUACCUUCUUAACCUACAACAACUUUCUGGAUUGGAGAAACACACAUUGUCAUUAAUACAGAGGAGAGAGGAACAGGAUAGCGAGAGUGCACAAGAGGAGAGCGCAAAAUAUUUCAAAGAUUGGACAUUGGCGAGUAAUAUGCUCGGAAGUGGUGGAUGGUGUGCUCGCCUUCUGAGUCUGACCAGCUCCGUCUGCCUCUCCUGCGGCGACCGCGUUUGGGUCGGCCUCUGGGACUAGAUCCCAUGUCCAGGGCGGAGGUCCGAACAAAAGAUUUGCUUCGGGAAAGACGUAUUCUAGGUCGUAAUAUUGUUUCCCAGUGUGUUUCAAGAAUGGUCCACCACCCAAAGGACAUCCAGCCAACUGUGGGAAGC
rnacentral:lncRNA from 1 species